rnacentral:rRNA from 1 species
UACGGGGGGAGCAAGCGUUGUUCGGAUUUACUGGGCGUAAAGGGCGCGUAGGCGGUCAGCACAAGUCAGUUGUGAAAUCUCCCGGCUCAACCGGGAGGGUGCGCCGAAUACUGAGGGACUAGAGUGUGGGAGAGGAAAGUGGAAUUCCUGGUGUAGCGGUGAAAUGCGUAGAUAUCAGGAGGAACACCGGUGGUGUAGACGGCUUUCUGGACCAUAACUGACGCUGAGACACGAAAGCGUGGGUAGCAAACAGG